GCCAGGUGUGAUGGCUCACACCUGUAAUCCCAGCACUUUGGGAGGCUGAGGUGGGUGGAUCACUUGAGGUCAGGAGUUCAAGACCAGCCUGGCCAACAUGGUGAAAUCCCAUCUCUA
ensembl:misc_RNA Metazoa_SRP Metazoan signal recognition particle RNA